rnacentral:ncRNA from 1 species
UUCUUCAGGGCAGGGUGCAAUUCCCUACCGGCGGUACAGCCCGCGAGCGGACGCUUUUUCAAGCGAAUGCAUGAUUCGGUGAAACUCCGAAGCCGACAGUAUAGUCUGGAUGAAAGAAGAA